rnacentral:rRNA from 1 species
GAAACUAACAAGGAUUCCCUUAGUAACUGCGAGUGAAGUGGGAAAAGCUCAAAUUUAAAAUCUGGUAGUCUCUGGCUGCCCGAGUUGUAAUCUAGAGAAGUGUUAUCCGCGCUGGACCGUGUAUAAGUCUCCUGGAAUGGAGCGUCAUAGAGGGUGAGAAUCCCGUCUUUGACACGGACUGCCAGGGCUUUGUGAUGCGCUCUCGAAGAGUCGAGUUGUUUGGGAAUGCAGCUCUAAAUGGGUGGUAAAUUCCAUCUAAAGCUAAAUAUUGGCGAGAGACCGAUAGCGAACAAGUACCGUGAGGGAAAGAUGAAAAGAACUUUGGAAAGAGAGUUAAACAGUACGUGAAAUUGUUGAAAGGGAAACGCUUGAAGUCAGUCACAUUGAUCAGAAAUCAACCUUGCUUUUUGCUUGGUGUACUUUUUGGUUGAUGGGUCAGCAUCAAUUUCAGCCAGUGGAAAAAGAUCAGAGGAAUGUGGCAUCUUCGGAUGUGUUAUAGCCUCAGGUUAUAUACAUUGGCUGGGAUUGAGGAACUCAGCAUGCCGCAAGGCCGGGUUUUUAACCACGUUCAUGCUUAGGAUGCUGGCAUAAUGGCUUUAAUCGACCCGU